AGAGUUUGAUCCUGGCUCAGGAUGAACGCUAGCGGCAGGCCUAACACAUGCAAGUCGAGGGGCAGCACGGUGUAGCAAUACACUGGUGGCGACCGGCGCACGGGUGCGUAACGCGUAUGCAACCUACCCAUAACAGGGGAUAACACUGAGAAAUUGGUACUAAUACCCCAUAACAUCAGGACCGGCAUCGGUUCUGGUUGAAAACUCCGGUGGUUAUGGAUGGGCAUGCGUUGUAUUAGCUGGUUGGUGAGGUAACGGCUCACCAAGGCAACGAUACAUAGGGGGACUGAGAGGUUAACCCCCACAUUGGUACUGAGACACGGACCAAACUCCUACGGAGGCA
rnacentral:rRNA from 1 species